UACGGAGGGGGCGAGCGUUAAUCGGAAUUACUGGGCGUAAAGGGUGCGUAGGUGGCCUUCUAAGUUGAACGUGAAAUCCCUGGGCUCAACCCAGGAACUGCGUCCAAGACUGGGAGGCUUGAAUCCGGGAGAGGGAUGCGGAAUUCCAGGUGUAGCGGUGAAAUGCGUAGAUAUCUGGAGGAACACCGGUGGCGAAGGCGGCAUCCUGGACCGGGAUUGACACUGAGGCGCGAAAGCCAGGGGAGCAAACGGG
rnacentral:rRNA from 1 species